rnacentral:rRNA from 1 species
UACGGUCGCAAGAUUAAAACUCAAAGGAAUUGACGGGGACCCGCACAAGCGGUGGAUGAUGUGGAUUAAUUCGAUGCAACGCGAAAAACCUUACCUACCCUUGACAUGGCAGGAAUCCCUGAGAGAUCGGGGAGUGCUCGAAAGAGAACCUGCACACAGGUGCUGCAUGGCUGUCGUCAGCUCGUGUCGUGAGAUGUUGGGUUAAGUCCCGCAACGAGCGCAACCCUUGUCAUUAGUUGCUACGAAAGGGCACUC